ensembl:snoRNA small nucleolar RNA SNORA44
UAGUAUUGCCCAAAGGACUCUUAAGAAAAUAUGAUGUGUAGCUAUGGGAUCUCCAACUGCACUCGAGAGCAACCUGGAGAGACUUUGACAGCUCAUCUCAGGUCAGCUGUGUCUGUCACUCACCUUUCCUUUAAGA